UUUACCAACGCGACCCCAG
rnacentral:rRNA from 1 species